CCUACGGGAGGCAGCAGUGGGGAAUAUUGCACAAUGGGGGGAACCCUGAUGCAGCAACGCCGCGUGGGUGAAGAAGUACUCCGGUAUGUAAAGUCCUGUCAGCAGGGAAGAAAAUGACGGUAUCUGACCAAGAAGCCCCGGCUAACUACGUGCCAGCAGCCGCGGUAAUACGUAGGGGGCAAGCGUUACCCGGAUUUACUGGGUGUAAAGGGAGCGUAGACGGCAAGGUAAGUCUGAAGUGAAAGCCCGUGGCUCAACCACGGGACUGCUUUGGAAACUGUGUUUCUGGAGUGCAGGAGGGGUAAGCGGAAUUCCUAGUGUAGCGGUGAAAUGCGUAGAGAUUAGGAGGAACACCGGUGGCGAAGGCGGCUUACUGGACUGUAACUGACGUUGAGGCUCGAAGGCGUGGGGAGCAAACAGGAUUAGAUACCCUGGUAGUC
rnacentral:rRNA from 1 species